rnacentral:rRNA from 1 species
GACGAACGCUGGCGGCGUGCUUAACACAUGCAAGUCGAACGUGAUUUUUGUGGAAAUUCUUUCGGGAAUGGAAAUGAAAUGAAAGUGGCGAACGGGUGAGUAACACGUGAGCAACCUACCUUACACAGGGGGAUAGCCGUUGGAAACGACGAUUAAUACCGCAUGAGACCACAGAAUCGCAUGAUAUAGGGGUCAAAGAUUUAUCGGUGUAAGAAGGGCUCGCGUCUGAUUAGCUAGUUGGAAGGGUAAAGGCCUACCAAGGCGACGAUCAGUAGCCGGCCUGAGAGGAUGAACGGCCACAUUGGAACUGAGACACGGUCCAAACUCCUACGGGAGGCAGCAGUGGGGAAUAUUGCACAAUGGGGGGAACCCUGAUGCAGCGACGCCGCGUGAGCGAAGAAGGUUUUCGAAUCGUAAAGCUCUGUCCUAUGAGAAGAUAAUGACGGUAUCAUAGGAGGAAGCCCCGGCUAAAUACGUGCCAGCAGCCGCGGUAAUACGUAUGGGGCGAGCGUUGUCCGGAAUUAUUGGGCGUAAAGGGUACGUAGGCGGUUUUUUAAGUCAGGUGUGAAAGCGUGAGGCUUAACCUCAUUAAGCACUUGAAACUGGAAGACUUGAGUGAAGGAGAGGAAAGUGGAAUUCCUAGUGUAGCGGUGAAAUGCGUAGAUAUUAGGAGGAAUACCGGUGGCGAAGGCGACUUUCUGGACUUUUACUGACGCUCAGGUACGAAAGCGUGGGGAGCAAACAGG